AAGUUAGAAAGGGCGCACGGUGGAUGCCUUGGCACUAGGAGCCGAAGAAGGACGGGACUAACACCGAUAUGCUUUGGGGAGCUGUACGUAAGCGUUGAUCCAGAGAUUUCCGAAUGGGGGAACCCACUAUCUUUAGUCGGAUAGUAUCCUUACGUGAAUACAUAGCGUAAGGAAGGCAGACCCAGGGAACUGAAACAUCUAAGUACCUGGAGGAAGAGAAAGAAAAAUCGAUUUCCUGAGUAGCGGCGAGCGAAACGGAAAGAGCCCAAACCAAGAAGCUUGCUUCUUGGGGUUGUAGGACACUCUAUACGGAGUUACAAAAGAAAGUUAUAAAUGAAGCGGUCUGGAAAGGCCCGCCAAAGACGGUAACAGCCCGGUAGUUGAAAUGGCUUUCCCUCCAGAGUGGAUCCUGAGUACGGCGGAACACGUGAAAUUCCGUCGGAAUCCGGGAGGACCAUCUCCCAAGGCUAAAUACUCCCUAGUGACCGAUAGUGAACCAGUACCGUGAGGGAAAGGUGAAAAGCACCCCGGAAGGGGAGUGAAACAGUUCCUGAAACCGUGUGCCUACAAGUAGUUAGAGCCCGUUAAUGGGUGAUAGCGUGCCUUUUGUAGAAUGAACCGGCGAGUUACGAUUUGUUGCAAGGUUAAGCGGAAAAAGCGGAGCCGUAGCGAAAGCGAGUCUGAAUAGGGCGCAUAAGUAACAGGUCGUAGACCCGAAACCAGGUGAUCUACCCAUGUCCAGGAUGAAGGUAAGGUAAUACUUACUGGAGGUCCGAACCCACGCACGUUGAAAAGUGCGGGGAUGAGGUGUGGGUAGCGGAGAAAUUCCAAUCGAACUUGGAGAUAGCUGGUUCUCUCCGAAAUAGCUUUAGGGCUAGCCUCGAGGUAAAGAGUCAUGGAGGUAGAGCACUGUUUGGACUAGGGGCCCUUCUCGGGUUACCGAAUUCAGAUAAACUCCGAAUGCCAUGUACUUAUACUCGGGAGUCAGACUGCGAGUGAUAAGAUCCGUAGUCGAAAGGGAAACAGCCCAGACCACCAGUUAAGGUCCCCAAAUAUAUGUUAAGUGGAAAAGGAUGUGGGGUUGCUUAGACAACCAGGAUGUUGGCUUAGAAGCAGCCACCAUUGAAAGAGUGCGUAAUAGCUCACUGGUCGAGUGACCCCGC
rnacentral:rRNA from 1 species